rnacentral:rRNA from 1 species
AACGAACGCUGGCGGCAUGCCUAACACAUGCAAGUCGAACGAGACCUUCGGGUCUAGUGGCGCACGGGUGCGUAACGCGUGGGAACCUGCCCUUAGGUUCGGAAUAACUCAGAGAAAUUUGAGCUAAUACCGGAUAAUGUCUUCGGACCAAAGAUUUAUCGCCUUUGGAUGGGCCCGCGUAGGAUUAGCUUGUUGGUGGGUAAUGGCCUACCAAGGCGACGAUCCUUAGCUGGUCUGAGAGGAUGAUCAGCCACACUGGGACUGAGACACGGCCCAGACUCCUACGGGAGGCAGCAGUGGGGAAUAUUGGACAAUGGGCGAAAGCCUGAUCCAGCAAUGCCGCGUGAGUGAUGAAGGCCUUAGGGUUGUAAAGCUCUUUUACCAGGGAUGAUAAUGACAGUACCUGGAGAAUAAGCGCCGGCUAACUCCGUG